GAUGAACGCUAGCGGCAGGCCUAAUACAUGCAAGUCGAGGGGCAGCGCGGUAGCAAUACUGGCGGCGACCGGCGCACGGGUGCGUAACACGUAUGCAACCUACCUUCAACUGGAGGAUAGCCCGGGGAAACUCGGAUUAAUACUCCAUAACACAGGGAUCCCGCAUGGGAAUAUUGUUAAAGCUACGGCGGUUGAAGAUGGGCAUGCGUUCGAUUAGCUAGUUGGUGUAGGUAACGGCUCACCAAGGCUACGAUCGAUAGGGGGUCUGAGAGGAUGAUCCCCCACACUGGUACUGAGAUACGGACCAGACUCCUACGGGAGCAGCAGUAGGGAAUAUUGGUCAAUGGGCGCAAGGCCUGAACCAG
rnacentral:rRNA from 1 species